AACCAAUGGAACGAACUCCAUCAACUGAGGACAUAAUUACAGUGUGUCAUCAAGAAAAUUAGAGUAAAGGGCAUACUUGUGAUAUCAGUGUACAUCAGACAGCCCUUGAGAUGAAAUUCCAGCAUGCAGACAGUGUUUGAGAUACAGUAGUGGGUCAGGUGUCUUUUUUAAAUAGGCCGUAAUGUAAACUGUCACAUUGUCGCAUCAUGUUAUUGCAGUUUUCAAGGUCAAUGAACUGUACUUUGAACUUAAAUUCUAAAAAAAAUAAUAAGUAUUAAAAAGUGUCUUUAAGUU